GGGGGUUUAGCUCAGUGGUAGAGCGCUUGCCUAGCAAGCGCAAGGCCCUGGGGUUCGGUCCCCAGCUCCGA
rnacentral:tRNA from 1 species